AUGCUUGUAAAAUGAAUUUUCUAAAUGGUCUAAAGAGGCAUAAGCUGAGCUAGGGAAGAAAGCCCUAAUGACCUUGAUUCAGCAAAGUCAUGGUUUUCAAUAUUGACCUCUUUGUUGAAGACAUCCCUGUUAAAAGCAUUAUGUUAGGAUAUUUUUUUGGCAGCUGAGGAAGUAGAGAGAAAGGAAAGGAAUGGAGGAAGAAAUGGGAGAAGAAAGAAAAUAAUUCUAGAAGAAUCAAGAGAGAGAGAGA
rnacentral:misc_RNA from 1 species